UAGGUAACUGAAGUGCACAUCAAAGUUGGCGUUCGUAGCAGGAACCAAAUGGACUUCUCAGUUAUCCGUUGGUUGCGCCGAUGGUAGCUGUCCGAAACACCGCGGCGAUAUCAUGGGCGAAGUUUAUUCGAUUCUCAUGACGAUCGAGCGCUGGGUGCAAGAGUUGAGCAGCCCUAGCAAGAUCCAGGAACCAGAGAGUCCUGUUGAAACGAAGAUCGUUAGCGACACGAACGAAUUCCUGAUCGACGCGCCGGUUCUUCGGGAUCUCCUGUUAGGCGUGUCGUCAGAGAAUAAUAUAUUCGACAUUAUUUGCACGAUCAACCGGCUAGUCUUCUUUUACGUGAUCAUCAAGUGGAUUAAUCGGGAAGUGUGGAUGAUAGCUGGCGGCGAGCCCUUCGUUUAUCGAUGAGGGUCGACGAAAAACUUCGAUCUUGUCUAUUUGUUGCGAAGUUUGUGAUGUCCUUGGACCAAAGAGAGAAAUCUGAUCGAGGAUGAUUAAUGGAGUAGUGAUCGGCUGACGGUUUUUGUAGUCAGAAUCGUCGGACAGUGGCGUCUACCCGUUAGAUUCGUUGUGUACUUGAUAUUCGAGAUGACCACUGUACACAUGAUACUGCAUAUUUAUUUAUGUUCUUCACAACUAAUGAUCGUCUGGCACUGUCGUUCGGAUUGGCAGAAGUAUUCUCAUUGUACCAACAUGUCUGUUUAACAAAAAUUUAUUAACGCUGAAGUAAAGAAUUCGAGGGAACAUGCCAUUAAUGAUGUGUCGAUGAGAGAAGAAUUGUGAUAUUAUGAAUUAUUCUUUGAGCAAAGUCCUGGAAGUAUAAUGACUAAACGUUUUUCUAAUUUGUUACAAUGAAGAGGUGAAGUGGAAUGGAGUCAAGAAUGGUUCUUAGAUGUUUGUACGGGUUUUACACUUUCAAUUUUAUUUGCUUUACACGCAAAUGUAUACGAAUAACCUUUAUGUAACGUAUUGCACACGAUUUUGUUUGAAACAUAUUUUUGCCAAUGCAGUACAGUGAAUUUGUCGUUUCAAUAUUCAAAGUACACCAUCAUACAAAAUUGCAACUUCGAUUCUUCCUACAAUAAAUAAAACACUGUUACAACGUUUUUUGGUUUCAUUAAAAUAUACCUAAAAGAAAGAGGAUACUCUUUUUAAAGAUAUUUAUUAUGCAAAACUCAUG